rnacentral:rRNA from 1 species
GACGAAACGCUGGCGGCGCGCCUAACACAUGCAAGUCGAACGGAGUUAUUCUGAAUGAAGUUUUCGGAUGGAUUUUGGAUUAACUUAGUGGCGAAACGGGUGAGUAACGCGUGAGUAACCUGCCCUGGAGUGGGGGACAACAGUUGGAAACGACUGCUAAUACCGCAUAAGCCCACGGUGCCGCACGGUACAGCGGGAAAAGGAUUUAUUCGCUUCAGGAUGGACUCGCGUCCAAUUAGCUAGUUGGUGAGGUAACGGCCCACCAAGGCGACGAUUGGUAGCCGGACUGAGAGGUUGAACGGCCACAUUGGGACUGAGACACGGCCCAGACUCCUACGGGAGGCAGCAGUGGGGGAUAUUGCACAAUGGGGGAAACCCUGAUGCAGCGACGCCGCGUGGAGGAAGAAGGUUUUCGGAAUUGUAAACUCCUGUCGUUAGGGACGAUAAUGACGGUACCUAACAAGAAAGCACCCGGCUAACUACGUGCCAGCAGCCGCCGCAGUAAC